UACGGAGGAUGCAAGCGUUAUCCGGAAUGAUUGGGCGUAAAGAGCUCGUAGGCGGUUUGUCGCGUCUGCCGUGAAAGUCCGGGGCUCAACUCCGGAUCUGCGGUGGGUACGGGCAGACUAGAGUGAUGUAGGGGAGACUGGAAUUCCUGGUAUAGCGGUGAAAUGCGCAGAUAUCAGGAGGAACACCGGUGGCGAAGGCGGGUCUCUGGACAGGUCCUGACGCUGAGGCACGAAGGUCAGGGGAGCAAACGGG
rnacentral:rRNA from 1 species